UAGGGAAUCUUCGGCAAUGGACGAAAGUCUGACCGAGCAACGCCGCGUGAGUGAAGAAGGUUUUCGGAUCGUAAAACUCUGUUGUUAGAGAAGAACAAGGACGUUAGUAACUGAACGUCCCCUGACGGUAUCUAACCAGAAAGCCACGGCUAACUACGUGCCAGCAGCCGCGGUAAUACGUAGGUGGCAAGCGUUGUCCGGAUUUAUUGGGCGUAAAGCGAGCGCAGGCGGUUUCUUAAGUCUGAUGUGAAAGCCCCCGGCUCAACCGGGGAGGGUCAUUGGAAACUGGGAGACUUGAGUGCAGAAGAGGAGAGUGGAAUUCCAUGUGGAGCGGUGAAAUGCGUAGAUAUAUGGAGGAACGCCAGUGGCGAAGGCGGCUCUCUGGUCUGUAACUGACGCUGAGGCUCGAAAGCGUGGGGAGCAACCAGG
rnacentral:rRNA from 1 species